rnacentral:lncRNA from 1 species
UCUGACAAUCAUGAUUUUAAAAUGAAAGUUUUGAUUUCAUUUCGGAAAUCAUGGAGGAUGAUGACCCACCCGUCAUGGAAGCUAAUUUCUUACUUUUCUUUUGCUUUUUCUCCCUUUUUCUUAAACAGUCAACACCAAAUGCCUUUUAUUUGUUACAUAAUUAAAAAUACCUAAUGUUGGCGGUAAAAUGAAAAUAAAAAAAAACUAAAAAAGUGAAAUAAAACUAAAUAAAAAUGGUAAGAAUAUUUGUGAUCAACUAAUUAUACCCAA